AAACCCGGAGGCCUCUGGCCUGUAUGGGAGAGCCUUAAUAGGCUUGAAGUUCGGCGAGAUGGGCCCGUAGCUCAGUUGGUUAGAGCACACGCUUGAUAAGCGUGGGGUCGGAAGUUCAAGUCUUCCCGGGCCCACCAUUUGCACCAGCAAAUGAGUUUGCUGUAGCGAAUGAAGUUUGCUGUAGCGAAUAGUGGUUUGUUUGGGUUUACCUGAUCCUGGCGGUUUGCUGUCAGGUGUUUGCGAUGGUUGGGGCUGUAGCUCAGCUGGGAGAGCACCUGCUUUGCAAGCAGGGGGUCAGCGGUUCGAUCCCGCUCAGCUCCACCAAAUCCUGUCCUGACGCUGUCGCGCUCUUCGAGCGCACGCUUCGGACGGACCGGCCAACGAUGGCCGACGGCCUCUGGCCUGUAUUUGGUGGAUCGUUGCUGGCGGCGAAAAAGAUAUCCUUUGAAGAAAUAAAAGUUUUGCAUCGGCUUAUGGCUGAUGCGUGUUCUGCAUACAUUGUGAAGAGAAGAUUGAUCUGGAGGCUUCCAGGUGUUUUGGGUUCUGCCCAAGGCGUCCGAGCCCAGUUCUGAUGAUCCCAUGGAUGGCCUAGCCGGCCGGAUAUGGGUGAAGGACUGGAGGUAGGUAGGGAGCUUGUCACUCUGGAUUGUUCGUUGUUCGUUGCCUUUGGGCAUCGUCUGAUGAACGAUCGGAUUACCGUUGCCUGACCGCGCGGUAUCGGAUCAUAUCUCGAGAAGCUGGUCNU
rnacentral:tRNA from 1 species